CCUACGGGUGGCAGCAGUGAGGAAUAUUGGUCAAUGGUCGGGAGACUGAACCAGCCAAGCCGCGUGAGGGAUGAAGGUACAGAGUAUCGUAAACCUCUUUUGUCAGGGAACAAAGGCGGGGACGUGUCCCCGGAUGAGUGUAUCUGAAGAAAAAGCAUAGGCUAACACCGUGCCAGCAGCCUGGGUAAUACGGAGGCUGCGAGCGUUAUCCGGAUUUAUUGGGUUUAAAGGGUGGGCAGGCGGGCUGUUAAGUCCGGGGGAAAAGCCCGGGGCUAAACCCGGGCCCGCCGUUGAAACUGGGAGCCUAGAGUUGGAGAGAAGUAGGCGGAAUGCGCGGUGUAGCGGUGAAAUGCAUAGAUAUCGCGCAGAACUCCGAUUGCGAAGGCAGCAUGCCGGCUCCACACUGACGCUGAGGCACGAAAGCGUGGGUAUCGAACAGGAUUAGAUACCCGAGUAGUC
rnacentral:rRNA from 1 species